rnacentral:tRNA from 1 species
GCUGGAGUAGCUCAGUUGGUAGAGCAGCCGAUUUGUAAUCGGCAGGUCGCAGGUUCGACUCCUGUCUCCAGCU